UAAUAUCAUAUUAUUUUCAUCACAAUUCACCACUAAUUAUCUUUGCAGAUGUUUAAUUUUAAUUGGCUUUAUGUUCGCAGUAAUUUUUGACAGUUUUGCUGCAGUACAUGCCGAAGUCAAUAUGGCAUGUACUGCCAUCAUAUAAAUAAAUAGCUUAUAAUAAUAAUUGUAAUUUCAUAUUUAAUAAAUAGUAUUUAGAAGCUAAAUGGUAUAUUAUUAUUAUUAUUAUUUUUUUUUUUUUUUUGCCUACCAGUAAUUCACAUGUGCAUGAACAAUUGCUUAAUGGUCAUUAAUAUACUUAAAAUCCAUUUAAAUAAAUAUUUGACUAAAUGUUAAAAGAAUGUGCAUUAAGGGAAAAAGAUUCUGAUAAAAUACGGAGAUGGAAGCAUGAAGGCUCAGUUUUUAUUUUCAUUUUGUCUAUUGAAAUUGUUUAAAUCACUGAAAUGUCAAAACAAAUCAAUAAAAUUAAUUAUAAUGGCAUUAUUAUAAAGUAGUAAUCAUAGCACCUUACUUAUGAUCUCAAGAACCAUAAAUAUUUUCCAGAUUUAUUUGAUUUAAACAAUUAAAAUAAUAUUACAAUUAUAAAUAUAUUGUAUAUUUAAGCAAGUAAAUGAAUAAAUCAGUCAAAAGUGUUCAUGCAUGACACUUAAAUUACAUUUUAUUGUAUUAUAUAUUUUCACAUUAUAAAAAGUUGUCAAAAAUAAUAUAAUAAAAAUAAUAUCAGCAAAAAAAAAAAAAAAAAAUUAUGUCAUGUAUAUUCGAUCUGUGUCUUGACAACUUCACACUUCAUUCUCAGCCUACACGUCCCAUAGUGCACCGGGCGUCCACCCCCCUCCCAUUCAGCGCUUUCCCUCUUCUCGCAGCUUGAGUUUCUGUCUAUCGGUGUUGUUGUUGAUGCGAUGAUGGCGGCAGCGGGAUGCGGAUCAGCAACCGCGGCUGCCGUUGUGGGCGCAGGCGGCGUGGGCGCGGCGCGGGGUCGCUUCCCCGGUCGCCCUUGGUCGUCGCGGAGCCGUUUGCGUUCGGAGAAGCGAUGGCAGCUCGGCCGCUCUGGGACAGAUCUAGACGAGAUCUCCUCCAACGGAGGCCCGAGGCCCACCUGCCUGGUGCUCGCGCUGAACGACGACCAGUCUCACUUGCGCCUUCUCGGGCUUGAGGCGAGCUACAAGAGCAUGGGAGAGGCUGGAUACAGCUCGAGUGGGAGCGAAGAGGGAGCUGAAUUCAAAGGCUUUGAAGUUCAGGAUGAAAAUAGCAGUGUCCCGGUUCGCGCUGGACGAAAUGCAUGUAAACGUGAUCGUGUUUCAGCAAAGUCGUCAAAGAGGAUACGUCAAAGGCGGUCUCUUCCAGGGCCCCCUUUAGUAGAAAGCACAGGUUCACAAGAUUCUCAAAAUGAUUCAGGUUCUGUUCAGCAAAUUCACAGUCAAGAGUCUCUAAAGGACACAUCAGUAGUUGAUGGUGGUGAUGAUGGAGGAUUGGAGAAGCGUACCAGGAGAAAAAGAGGGUCGACAAAACAGGAGACCCAGCCAACUCCAAGAAUCAAAAUCAAGUUGGUGGCUAAAAAGAAAGUGGUUACACUCCCAUCAGUGCAAUGUAAAUCUGGUAAAAAACAGAAGGAAAUCAAAUCUGAAGUUACAGAGAGUCAGUGUGCCCAAAUCUCAAGUGCUCAUGUAAAAUUAAAAACAAAUGUACCAGCCAGUGAAUGCAGUGCUGGUGAGGCAAAAGAGGAGGUUUGUACUAGAAGGCGAGGAAGAUCUGCUGACAAGAAAUCAGAAUCCACUCCACAAACAAAUCCUGAAAAAGAGGCCAAUGAGCAAAAACUGAAGCUGAGGAAAUCAACUCGAAGGUCUCAAAAUCCACUGCCCAGUGAAAGCAUAAAGCCAAAACCUGAUGAAAAGUCAGCACAAAAAGCAUCAGCGAAAGGAAAAAGGAGCCUCAUUCAUCAUCAGCAAAAGAUCUUGGCCCUUCAUCCGAUGAUCCUCAAAAGCUCGCUUUCGGAAAUGAUUUUGUCGGAAUUCCAGGUCUGAGACUUACCAGGAUACGAAAUCCCAAAGCCAGGUCUCGCAAGAAACGCUGCAAGUUUGUGUGGACUCUCACACUGGUGAAAAGCAAAAGCAAAGAUUCCCAAAUUCAAGAGAAUCUAAGUAAAACCCAAGAAAGCAAAAGCAAUGAUUCCCAAGUCCAAGAUGACCUCAGCAGAACACAAGAAAUCAAAAGCCAAGAUUCUCAAGUCCAAGAGAUUCCAAGCCCCAGCACAGAGGCAGAACGUCCUGUUAAAUGUGAUGAGGAAGUAGAUGUUUCUACAGAAUCAGAAUCCACAUCUGCUCCUUCCAACAUUGCGGAAACCGGUUCUUCACAGGAGUCACAAAACGUAGAGAACACUGCCAGUGCCCUAAUUC
ensembl:lncRNA